rnacentral:piRNA from 1 species
UAUCAAAUGGCGGAAGAGCCCC